rnacentral:tRNA from 1 species
GGGCCUGUAGCUUAGUGGUAGAGCACCCGGUUUGCAUCCGGGAGAGAGGGGUUCGAUUCCCCUCAGGUCCACCA